ACGCUCGACACCUACGGGAGGCAGCAGUGGGGAAUAUUGCACAAUGGGGGAAACCCUGAUGCAGCGACGCCGCGUGAGUGAAGAAGUAUUUCGGUAUGUAAAGCUCUAUCAGCAGGGAAGAAGAUGACGGUACCUGAGUAAGAAGCCCCGGCUAACUACGUGCCUGCAGCCGCGGUAAUCUGAGCGGGCUGGCAAGGC
rnacentral:rRNA from 1 species